rnacentral:rRNA from 1 species
AUGCUCGUAGACGAACAUGCGGUCAUCCUCCUCCUCGCACCAGCCGACGAGGCGCACGAUGUGGUCGUGGCGGAGGCGGAAGGUGAUCACGAGCUCCGGCACGAACGUCUCAUGCGGCCUGUGCUUGUCCAGCACCUUAACGGCCACCUCCGGGCCGUCGUGGAGACGGCCCUUGUACACCGCCCCCGAGCAACCUUGGCCGAGCUUCUCGGCAAAGUUGCUGGUCGCCGUUACAAUCUCCGCCCACGUGAACAUGUAAGGGUAAUCAGGAAACACCGUCAGAGUCUGCAGGGAGGCAGAGGUGGAGCCCGGCGGCGGCACAGUGAUCGUGGUCGGCACCCCGUUGUGUUGGGGACUGAUUCGAGCGAGGUGGCUGGUGAUGGCGGCAUAGUUGACCAUGGGGAAGAGGCUGAGAAGGAAGUAGAUCCUGUCAUUGACUUCCCUGAAGCUAUCGGCGUGGUGGCGGGCACCGAAGAACUGGUUGGCGGCGCUUCGGUUCUGGCAGGCAAGGACGAGCUCGUGCGCCUUGCCCAGCGCCGUGCGCAGCUCCUUGAGUGGCCGCUCCACCACCGGGUCCGCCUGCGGCAGGCGAGACAGCACGUCGCCGAUGAUGGAGAGGCGGAGCGCGAGGUGCUCGCACUCCUGCUUGUUCUGGCGCGCCGUCGCCACCGCGCGAAUGAUCCUGGAGACGAGGCCGGUCGCCUGCUCGAUGAGCUGUGCGACCGCGGCCACAUUCGCCACGACCGCCAACGCCAUGAUCGAUGA